UAAGUGUGCAGCAAGCAUCAUAGAUCUCCAGUUACUUAAGAAAACUGGGGCACACAGAGUCUAUGUAACUUAUGCACAACUGAGUUGAGAGAUGGGUUAUCAAUUCAAGUCUCUGCUACUACCAAGCCUAUCUUCUUUCUGCUGUACUGUGCUACUUCCACAGGUCACAAAUGGGUGGGAAAGCUCUAACAGGGAAAGAAGCCUAUCAUAUAUUGGUAACAAGAGCAAGAAACAUUAUUUGAAGUCUUAACUGUCUUUGAGGAAGACAUCUACAAAUAUACAUAGAUCAAAAGGCAAAGAAUCAUUUACCACCUACACAUGACUCCAUAGUAUGAUUAGCUAGGAGAAACCAAAAUUUCAUUCUUGAUUAAUCCAAAGAAAUGAGCAAGGCCAAGUCAACUGAAAUGUCUUUGGUUAAGGCAAACACGCUUCACAAAGUAAAUG